rnacentral:rRNA from 1 species
CAGCCGCCACGGGAAUACAGAGGGUGCAAGCGUUAAUCGGAAUUACUGGGCGUAAAGCGCGCGUAGGUGGUUUGUUCAUUUGGAUGUGAAAUCCCCGGGCUCAACCUGGGAACUGCAUCCAAAACUGGCAAGCUAGAGUAUGGUAGAGGGUGGUGGAAUUUCCUGUGUAGCGGUGAAAUGCGUAGAUAUAGGAAGGAACACCAGUGGCGAAGGCGACCACCUGGACUGAUACUGACACUGAGGUGCGAAAGCGUGGGGAGCAAACAGGAUUAGAUACCCCAGUAGUCCCUGUCUCUUAUAC